GAUGUUGGUGUUAAAACAGUAACACCUCCUCGGAAGCUAAGCAGAGUCAGGCCUGGUUAGUACUUGGAUGGGAGACCCCCUGGGAAGACCAGGUGCUGAAGGCA
rnacentral:rRNA from 1 species